rnacentral:rRNA from 1 species
GAACGCUGGCGGCAUGCCUUACACAUGCAAGUCGAACGGCAGCGCGGGGCAACCUGGCGGCGAGUGGCGAACGGGUGAGUAAAAUAUCGGAACGUACCCUGGAGUGGGGGAUAACGUAGCGAAAGUUACGCUAAUACCGCAUACGAUCUAAGGAUGAAAGUGGGGGACCGCAAGGCCUCAUGCUCGUGGAGCGGCCGAUAUCUGAUUAGCUAGUUGGUAGGGUAAAAGCCUAGGAAGGCGACGAUCAGUAGCUGGUCUGAGAGGACGACCAGCCACACUUUCCCUGAGACACGGACCAGACUCUNACGGGAGG